CGGUGGCCAUAGCGGAGGGGAAACACCGGUGGACCAUACCGAACACACAGGUUAAGCCCUCCAGCGCCGAUGGUACUGGGGGAACCCGGGAGAGUAGGACGCUGCCGAAA
rnacentral:rRNA from 1 species